UUAAGCUAUAAAGAGUGCAUGGCGAAUGCCUUGGCAUCAGGAGUCGAAGAAGGUCGUGAUAAGCUGCGAUAAGCUUGGGGUAGACGCACAUAGUCUGUGAACCCAAGAUCACCGAAUGAGGCAACUCACUGGGGUAACCCCCAGUAUCCAUAGAUGAAUCCAUAGUCUAUAGGAGGACAAACCCAGGGAACUGAAACAUCUAAGUACCUGGAGGAAGAGAAAGAAACAUCGAUUUCCCUAGUAGCGGCGAGCGAACGGGAAAGAGCCCAAACCGGAAACUUGUUUCCGGGGUUGUGGACGGUCUAUAAAGUACGGAAAUUUCUUAGCAGAGCACAGCUGGAAAGCUGGACCACAGGGGGUAAUAGUCCCGUAUGCGAAAAGAAACGACCCGAACUGACCGAUCCAGAGUACCACGAGACACGUGAAACCUUGUGGGAAGCAGGGGGGACCACCCCCCAAGGCUAAAUACUACCUGAUGACCGAUAGUGAAGCAGUACCGUGAGGGAAAGGUGAAAAGAACCCCGGGAGGGGAGUGAAAUAGAACCUGAAACCGUGCACUUACAAACGGCUAAAGCACUAUUAUAAAGUGUGAUAGCGUGCUUUUUGUAGAACGAGCCAACGAGUUACGAUAUGCAGCAAGGUUAAGUACUUAAGGUACGGAGCCGAAGGGAAACCGAGUCUUAAUAGGGCAACAAGUUGCAUGUCGUAGACCCGAAACCGGGUGACCUAUCCAUGGCCAGGUUGAAGCGAGAGUAAAAUCUCGUGGAGGACCGAACCAAAUUGAUGUUAAAAAAUCAUGGGAUGAGCUGUGGAUAGCGGAGAAAUUCCAAUCGAACUCGGAGAUAGCUGGUUCUCCUCGAAAUAGCUUUAGGGCUAGCGUCGGAUAUAUGAGUUAUGGAGGUAGAGCACUGAAUGGGCUAGGGGGCAUAUCGCUUACCGAACCUUAUCAAACUCCGAAUGCCAUAUACUAUUAGUCCGGCAGUCAGACUGUGUAAGAUAAGUUUCAUAGUCGAAAGGGAAAAAGCCCAGACCGUCAGCUAAGGUCCCCAAGUAUAGGUUAAGUGGAAAAGGAUGUGGGAUUUCUAAGACAACUAGGAUGUUGGCUUAGAAGCAGCCACUCAUUAAAAGAGUGCGUAAUAGCUCACUAGUCGAGAGAUCCCGCGCCGAAAAUGUCCGGGGCUAAAACCUAUCACCGAAGCUACGGGUGGCACCUUCACGGUGCCGCGGUAGAGGAGCGUUCUGUACUGGCUGAAGCCAUACCGUAAGGAGUGGUGGACGGUACAGAAGUGAGAAUGUUGGCAUAAGUAGCGAGAUGCGGGUGAGAAUCCCGCAGGUCGAAAAUCUAAGGUUUCCUGAGGAAGGUUCGUCCGCUCAGGGUUAGUCGGGUCCUAAGCCGAGGCCGAGAGGCGUAGGUGAUGGACAAUCGGUUGAUAUUCCGAUACCACUAUGAAGCGUUUGACCGAAGGGGUGACGCAGGAGGAUAAGAUGUGCGUACGAUUGGAUUGUACGUCCAAGCACUGAGAGAGAGCAGGGAGGCAAAUCCCUCUGCUUGUUAAUCUCAAGGUGUUACGGGGAGGAGCCCACGGGCUCCAAGUAUCUGAUUUCACGCUGCCAAGAAAAGCCUCUAGGGAGUGACAUAGUGCCCGUACCGCAAACCGACACAGGUAGAUGAGGAGAGAAUCCUAAGACCAUCGGAAGAAUUGUUGUUAAGGAACUCGGCAAAUUAACCCCGUAAGUUCGCGAGAAGGGGUGCCGGAGAGGAAUCUCCGGCCGCAGUGAAAUGGCCCAAGCAACUGUUUAGCAAAAACACAGGUCUCUGCUAAAGCGUAAGCUGAAGUAUAGGGGCUGACGCCUGCCCGGUGCUGGAAGGUUAAGGGGAUCACUUAGCGCAAGCGAAGGUGUGAACUUAAGCCCCAGUAAACGGCGGCCGUAACUAUAACGGUCCUAAGGUAGCGAAAUUCCUUGUCGGGUAAGUUCCGACCUGCACGAAUGGUGUAACGAUCUGGGCACUGUCUCAGCCGUGAGCUCGGCGAAA
rnacentral:rRNA from 1 species